CAACAUUAUUGAAAUUUCUUCCUGAUGCUCAAGCACUCAAACCUAUUAGGAUAGAUGAUUAUGAGGAAGAACCAAUAUUAAAACCAGGAUGUAAAGAGUAUUUUUGGUUGUUAUGCAAAUUAGUUGACAACAUACAUAUAAAGGACGCUAGUCAGACAACGCUCCUCGACUUAGAUGCCUUGGCAAGACAUUUGGCUGACUGUAUUCGAAGUAGGGAGAUCCUUGAUCAUCAGGAUGGUAAUGUAGAAGAUGAUGGGCUUACAGGACUCCUAAGGCUUGCAACAAGUGUUGUUAAACACAAACCACCCUUUAAAUUUUCAAGGGAAGGACAGGUAAGUGUUAAGAUAAUCAAAUGUUUCUAUGAAAUGUGAUUGAAAUUUUUUGUUGUUACAUUGUGUAUUAGUCCGUUUUUACACUGCUCAUAAAGGCAUACCCGAGACUGGGCAGUUUACAAAAGAAAAGGGUUUAAUUCGACUCAGAGUUCCAUGUGGCUGGGGAGGCCUCACAAUCGUGCCGGAAGGCAAGUCCGGGCAAGUCCGAGCAAGUCGCAUCUUAUGUGGAUGGCGGCAGGCAAAAAAAGAAUGAGAACCAAGCGAAAGCGGUUUCUCCUUAUAAAACCAUCAGAUCUCAAGAGACUUAUUCACUUAUCACAAGAACAGUAUGGGGGAAACCGCCGCCAUGAUUCAGUCAUCUCCCACCAGGUCCCUCCCACAACAAUGGGAAUUAUAGGCAAUAUAAUUCAAGAUGAGAUUUGGGUGGAGACACGGCCAAACUGUAUCACAUUGUAUGUGGAUA
rnacentral:lncRNA from 1 species